rnacentral:rRNA from 1 species
AUUGAACGCUGGCGGCAGGCCUAGCACAUGCAAGUCGAACGGUAACAGGAAGCAGCUUGCUGCUUCGCUGACGAGUGGCGGACGGGUGAGUAAUGUCUGGGAAUCUGCCUGAUGGAGGGGGAUAACUACUGGAAACGGUAGCUAAUACCGCAUAAUGUCGCAAGACCAAAGAGGGGGACCUUCGGGCCUCUUGCCAUCGGAUGUGCCCAGAUGGGAUUAGCUUGUUGGUGGGGUAACGGCUCACCAAGGCGACGAUCCCUAGCUGGUCUGAGAGGAUGACCAGCCACACUGGGACUGAGACACGGUCCAGACUCCUACGGGAGGCAGCAGUAGGGAAUAUUGCACAAUGGGCGCAAGCCUGAUGCAGCCAUGCCGCGUGUAUGAAGAAGGCCUUCGGGUUGUAAAGUACUUUCAGCGGGGAGGAAGGGAGUAAAGUUAAUACAUUUGCUCAUUGACGUUACCCGCAGAAGAAGCACCGGCUAACUCCGUG